ACUCCUCGAGUCCCUCUCUGUACGUCGAGAAGAUCUCUCAGUCCCCUUUUAGGAAUUCGAAAUUCCAUACUCCGCCACCUUCUCCCUCCCCCCCUCUCUCUCUCUCAUCACCACCGUAAAACCCAUUUUCGCAGCCGAACCUUCUCCGAAUCUUUAAUUGAGCUCAUAGCUUACCCCUCCGAUUCACUUUCGUUUCUCAUUUUUCUAGGGUUUUUCCCCAUCAUCACAAAAAACCACCAUGGCAAUUCGUUUCACAGUGACAUACUCAGGCUAUAUAGCCACGAACCUGGCCUCGUCGGCCUCCAUCAAAGUCGGAAACUCCCGCCUCUUCCAUGAAUGCGCGAUCUGGUCACUCCUCUUCCACCCCAAGCCCAAGCCCGACCUCGAUCGCCGGAGCUGUCGCCCCCAGGCGGAGCUCCGGCGACCCAAUUCGAACCGCUACUCGACCGUCGCCUCCGGGAACAACGGCGGGGCGUCCUCGAUUGUUCUCGGCCUGAUAUCCCUCGUGAGGUCGUCGGGCUAUCUCUCGGAACCUUCGUCGAUUGGGGUUUUCGGGAUUGCGCGUAUCAAGGCCUCCAUGAUCAUCCCCUUUUUGCAUUGGCAGAGGUGGAUGACCUGUCACGAGCCGAUUCUGGUCGCGGGUUCUAGUGGUGCCCGGGGUUGUGGUGGUGGGAAGAAUAGCAGUGAAGGGAAGAGAGCAGCGGAAGAGAGCUCCGAGGGUGUUCCUGCGGCUGCCGGGCCGCAGAGGAGGAAUUGGCUCUCGAGGUUGUUGAAUUUUAGUUCCGACGAUGCCAAGGCCGUUAUCACGGCUUGGACCCUUAGGCUGCUUUUCUGUCGCAGUUGGCGGAGCCAAGGUCGAUUCCUUCGUCGUCUAUGUUGCCCACUCUCGAAGUGGGCGAUCGAAUCGUGGUGGAGAAGGUAGAACCUCGUUAUCCUUAUCUGAUUUCUUAAUUUGAAUUCCAUUUCACUUUUAGAAUGUACAUUUCCAUAGAAUUGCUGGGUAUAUGAACAGUGUGGUUGAGUGAUGCAUAUUUGUGGAUGAGCUGUGUGAGAAACUAAAUUUGAGCUUUAGGAGGAUCAUUAGAGAAGGGAACAAUUGCUAUUAGCUGAAUUCAACCGAGUUAUGCAAUUUUUGGUACCGCUUUUGGUGAAGCUAAUGAGAUAAAAAUAACUAUGCCUGCCCUUUUUUUUAUCACAAAACAGAAAUUACUUCCAUGUUUUACUCCGAUACUCACUGAUGUGUGGGUCCCACAUAAACAUAGUGCUUAUCCGCGACCCCACAAAUGAUGCGAGUAUGGAGUAAACACACAUAUUUAUGAGGAUCUACCACCUUGUUUUUAUUUGGUUUAGGUUAGUGCAGUCUUGUGGAAUUACUAGAGAGACCUUGUUUCUUUGGUUUUAGAUAAAAGAAUAUUGAAAUUGAAUUGAUUUUUACUGAUAAUUUUGGUGUGUCAGGUUACAUAUUGCUUAGAAAGCCUUCAGUUUCGAUAUGUGAUAUUAAGGAUGCCUCCAAGUGAUUCAGGGUCUGUUGUGAAUUUUUACAAAGUGAAUAGACAACAAUCUUUUGGUCAAUCCCUAUAACUACUGUAUAUCUUCUUUUCUUUUUUGGUGCUCCAGACAGGGGUUGGUUUUGAUGGAGGUGAUGUGGUUCAGAACGAAUUGUGGCCGAGGAGGAGAUUGUUUUGAAUAAGUUCUCAUGUUCUGUAACAAGUAAAAAAUCCCCAGUGGGCUUCAUCUUGACAUCUAAUGUGAUGUAAAUCAGUUGGCCUAACAGGUACGCGAUGGCAAGUUACUGUUGAAUGGUAAGUGUGGCAGAAUGCAGGAUUUCAUUAUGAGCCAGUUUCGGUAUAAACUGUGGUCCCAGUGGUACGGCAUUGUGCUUCUUGUUCCUUUCGGGGCUUUCUUGAAUCAAUUUCUUUGUCAUUUAGCCUUAUUAGAGGCCUAAAACGUUUGCCGCACUGGUCCUGAUAAUUUGCAAUCGAAUUCUUCAGCUUGUACCGAAAGAUUAUGUGUAAGUCAUGGGGGACAACCGUAAUCAGUUUUGAUUCCCGUAAUGGGUAAUUCCAGUCCCAAUAUUUAAUAAUCGUUGCCAAUUUUUGUUGAAUAUUUUUGGCUGUCAUGUCUGUGGCUUUUUACGCAUUUCGAACUUGGAUGCCGAUUAUAGUUGUAACUUACCAUGCUUCAAUCUUUGUUCGGACAACUUGUGUGACAUGUUACUUGCACCCUGUUUUCAGGGGUCCACUGCCGAUCAAAAACAUUUUUGGAAGGUCGGUGUUUCGUUAUUGGCCCCCUGAAAGAGUAUCCAGCACUACUUAUAAAGCACGCAUGGAAGAGAAUGUGGCAGUCUCAUUACCUCUUUGGUCCUUUGCUCGCAGAAGCUGGAUAUGAUAUUUUAGAUCUUAAUAAUUUUUACCAAUUCUUUCCCGAGUCUUCUGGCUCCAUAUUGAAACAGUUGUGAAUAUUCCUUCUUUUUCUGAUGGCAUGUUUCGCACAUUUCCAAUGGAAAUGUUUUGCAUAUUUGGAUUGGCUGAGGAUGGAUGAUUCGUCCAUUAGUGUGUCAUUAUAGGUGUUGUCAAUGGCUAGUUUUACAUAUUUGGAUUGGUCGAAGAGUGUUAUUCGGGACAGUGUAUUUUGUUUAACGUAUCGACAGUGCAUACUACAUGCCACGACUUUGCUGCUGUUGUAAUGCUGCGGUCACCACAAACUCUAGCCAUUGCUCCACUCGGUAUGGGCUAACGUUAACUUUGUUUGGGUGGUUCCUUCUCUUCCCUUGUUUUAUAUACUCUCUCAUCCCCACUUUUCUAUCUGUACGGCAAGGAAAGGAACACGUGUGUCCUGUAGGGUUUGUGAUUAAAGGUAAAAAGGUAAAAUCCAACUUUUGGAUCAUAACAUAAAGCACGCAACCCGCUGUUUCGUUAGAAAAUUUCCCUUCCAACGGCCCGAGAUCACCCUUUCAAAAGAAUCUACUUUUCUCCACAGGGCCAUUCUCGUCAUUUCACUUACCUGGCACUAUAGAUCUCGCCGGGUGAUUCUAUUUUUGCAACCAAGAAACGUCUUUCUAUACCCUAUGUUUUUGAUUUAUCAAUUUCACUAACCUCCUUUAAGAUUUUUUACAAUACAACUAUGUUCUUUGUAUAUUCUUUUAAAAUUAUUAGUAUUUUUCAUCACUAUUUUUUUUUACCAAAGUUUGAACCAAUAUUACACUUAUUUUUAGGAUUUUUUAUAUUUUUUUCUUUUAAAAAAUUAGUUAUUGUUAAAAAAAUAGAAUAAAUUAACAGAUCACCCACUUAGCUAUAUGACCCGAUUUUCUCUUUACCACCAUAAUUUGAAAACAUUGACCACUUAUCCCCUUAAAGUAUGAGAUCAUAAAACCAUUGUGGAUGCUGUUAACAGUAAUGGUAUUUUACGUUUUUUGACCUUAAACUACAAUACCCCUGCAAAGUUGCAGAUAUUUUUCCAGUGAGAUUCCAAUUUUCUCGUCUCUCUCUCAAGUCUCAAUAACACAUGCAAUGUUUGAAACCCGGAUCGGUAUCGAAUCGCAAAAAUGGCCAGGUCAUAGGUCAUCGAUUCAACCUCGGGUCACCCAUUAUUGACCCGUGAUGUCAUAAUUAUGUCAUUAAUUUAUUUAUUAAUAGUAAUAAAUAUUUUUUUAAUGUUUUAGACUAAAUUUUUAGAGUAAAAUCUAAAAUUUUAAAUUAACACAUAAUUUGUUUUCUUAAAACGUGAACCGAGGGUCAAUGGACCGUUUAAAUCGCAGAGUUAACUCGUUUUGACUGGAUGUUGAAUCAACAAUGGGUUUUGAUUAGUGCCCGACGAACCGUUUCCCUUACCGUCGAUAGUUCAGAGCCAGUCGAACCGACCAUCCGGUCCUGAUUUUUAAACGCAUGACCCAAGUCCUACGAUCCUCUCCUCCUCUCCCUCUCCCUCUCCCUCGCCCUCUCCCUCGAGACCCAAUUCUCUCUCUACGCGCCCCAAUUUUUCCAUCUCCCACUCCACAUAGACCCAAUUUCUAUCUCACAUAUGCAAUUGCGCUCUCCUCUCCUCAUCCGCCUUCAUCUUCCUCAACCGUGUGCAACCAAUUGGGUCAUUCUCGCAACCAUCCUUCCCCCACCACCGCUCCAGCACCACAGCCGAACCAUAGACACCUUAAACCAAACAUCCGCCCACAGAUCUACUCACAGCCACUUCCGCCACCACAAUGAAUCCUACCUCCAUGCCCCCAUUCACUGUAAUCAAGCCAGAUAGCAACCAGUAGAAAUAGUUCAACUUAUCUCUAUUCAAAUUGUUACUACCCAACCACCAACCACUCACCUUGUUCACCACCUCAACCAUGUUCACCACCUUGUUCACCAAAAUCAGCAGCAAGUGCCAUUUAUCAUGGAGAAUGUAGAAGUAGCCACUUGUGUGGGUGAGUUUUUUCUUCUCUUUACACAAUCCCACAUCGAUUGUGGGUGGAUAGCCCAAGGACUGGAUGUGUAUAAAAAAAGACUUAUUAUCCUAUAUCACUACACCUUAACUGCUUUGAGCCGGUCUUCGAAUUUUUCGAGAAGGUCGAGCUGUUAAGUUCUUCGAGCGAGCUGCUCUGAGCCUGUCCGAAUUUGUUAAUCGCCUUGAGGGAGCCUAUCAGAAUUUGUUAACUGCCUUGAGGGGGCCUUCGAGUUUCUCGAAAAGGUCAAGAGCUGCUAAUUGCUCAAGAGCGGUUAAGUUCUUCGAGCGAGCCGCUUUGAGCCUAUCCGAAUUUGUAAACUGCCUUGAGGGGGGGCCUUCGAGUUUCUCGAAAAGGUCAAGAGCUGCUAAUUGCUCAAGAGCGGUUAAGUUCUUCGAGCGAGCCGCGCUUUGAGCCUAUCCGAAUUUGUUAACUGCCUUGAGGGGGCCUUCGAGUUUCUCAAAAAGGUCAAGAGUUGCUAAUUGCUCAAGACGGUAAGUUCUGCGGCGAGGCCGCUUUGACCUAUCCGAAUUUGUUAACUGCCGGGUUUUAGGUGGCCUGCGAGUUUCUCGAA
rnacentral:lncRNA from 1 species